UCGCUUGCCGAAAAAUGGCGGAGACCAAAAGUAUUCAGAUGUGUAUAGUGUGCCUUUGUGUUAUAAAAAAAGCGUUGAAAUUUGGCUAGAGGAUGAGGCUACAAUGACUGUGAGGAAAGGUAGUUUAGUGUGUGCUAAGCACUUCACGGAGGAUGAGGUCCGUGUCCAACCGGAGUACAGUCGAUCUCGCACCGUGGGCUCCAAGUUUGCGUGGAAAAGUUGUGGAGACGUUAAAUCACGCGUCAAAACGGGAUGUUUGUGGUGCAGAGCAAUACAUGUGGAGAUGGUGCAGGAGCACGAAUACACAGCCGCCCAGUCCCAGUGCUCUUGCUGAGGCAUGGGAAAAAUAAAGGAGCUGGAAAAAACACCUGCUAGUGACAUCAGCAUCAUCGACACACCUGCCAGUGACACCAUGCUUUUCUUCACCUGCUAGUAACUUGUCUGCUUUGUGAUAAGCAAAUUUAGCUAUCUUCCAUUUUGCAUGGUCCCCAAUAAACUCAACGUGGAAUGCCUCUCCGAUUUCUUUCACACCAGGGCACUUAACCUCUACCAGGCCACAGGGAGGUUCUUCAUUUGGGUCCACCACUUUGCCAUCUGCACCAAGGUGUGGAGCAUCAGGGUGGAUGAUGAGACCAGAUGGAAGAACGUUAACGUCAAAGGUCUCCUCAUAGCGGUGAAGAACCUCUGG